rnacentral:rRNA from 1 species
CAGCCGCCGCGGUAAUACGUAGGGUGCGAGCGUUAAUCGGAAUUGCUGGGCGUAAAGCGUGCGCAGGCGGUUCGUUAAGACAGAUGUGAAAUCCCCGGGCUUAACCUGGGAACUGCAUUUGUGACUGGCGAGCUAGAGUAUGGCAGAGGGGGGUAGAAUUCCACGUGUAGCAGUGAAAUGCGUAGAGAUGUGGAGGAAUACCGAUGGCGAAGGCAGCCCCCUGGGCCAAUACUGACGCUCAUGCACGAAAGCGUGGGGAGCAAACAGGAUUAGAUACCCCUGUAGUCCCUGUCUCUUAUAA